rnacentral:rRNA from 1 species
UACGGAGGGAGCAAGCGUUACUCGGAAUAACUGGGCGUAAAGGGCGCGUAGGCGAUUUUUAUAAGUCUCGUGUGAAAAGCCCCCCAAGCCUAACUUGGGAAAGUGCACGAGGUACUGUAGAAUUUUGAGUUCCGGAGAGGAAAGAUGGAAAUUCCCCGGUGUAGCGGUGAAAAUGCGUAGAUAUCGGGAGGAACACCAGUGGCGAAGGGCGAUCUUCUGGACGGAUACUGACGCUGAGACGCGAAAAGCGUGGGGGAGCAAACAGGG